AGGGAGAGCAGGCGCGAAACCUCUGCAAUAGGCGAAAGCUUGACAGGGUUACUCUGAGUGGUGUCCGUUAAGGGCAUCUUUUGACACUUCUAAAAAUAGUGUAGAAUAAGGGGUGGGCAAGUCUGGUGUCAGCCGCCGCGGUAAUACCAGCACCCCGAGUGGUCGGGACGAUUAUUGGGCCUAAAGCAUCCGUAGCCGGUUCUGCAAGUCUCCCGUUAAAUCCACCCGCUCAACAGAUGGGCUGCGGGGGAUACUACAGGGCUAGGAGGCGGGAGAGGCAAGCGGUACUCGGUGGGUAGGGGUAAAAUCCUCUGAUCCACCGAAGACCACCAGUGGCGAAGGCGGCUUGCCAGAACGCGCUCGACGGUGAGGGAUGAAAGCUGGGGGAGCAAACCGGAUUAGAUACCCGGGUAGUCCCAGCUGUAAACGAUGCAGACUCGGUGAUGGGUUGGCUUUGAGCCAACCCAGUGCCGCAGGGAAGCCGUUAAGUCUGCCGCCUGGGGAGUACGGUCGCAAGACUGAAACUUAAAGGAAUUG
rnacentral:rRNA from 1 species